GAUGAACGCUGACAGAAUGCUUAACACAUGCAAGUCGAUGGGGAAGUGGUGCUUGCACCAUGGCAACCAUGGCGGACGGGUGAGUAACGCGUAAGGGACUUACCUGCAGGACUGGGAUAACAGGGGGAAACUCCUGACAAGACCGGAUAAUGUCAUGGAGCUGCAUGGCUUUAUGAUGAAAGGAGACGCCUGCGGAGAGCCUUGCGUCCUAUUAGCUAGUUGGUGAGGUAAUGGCUCACCAAGGCGAGGAUAGGUAGCCGGCCUGAGAGGGUGGACGGCCACAAGGGGACUGAGAUACGGCCCUUACUCCUACGGGAGGCAGCAGUGGGGAAUAUUGGACAAUGGGGGCAACCCUGAUCCAGCAAUUCUGUGUGCACGAAGAAGGUUUUCGGAUUGUAAAGUGCUUUCAGCAGGGAAGAAGUAAGUGACGGUACCUGCAGAAGAAGCGACGGCUAAAUACGUG
rnacentral:rRNA from 1 species